rnacentral:tRNA from 1 species
GGUGGGUUACUCAAGUGGCUGAAGAGGCGGGUUUGCUAAACCUGUAGGACGCUGUAAAGUGUCGCGAGAGUUCGAAUCUCUCACCCACCACCA